CUCCUCUGCUGCUGCUUCACAGAGUCCAGAGGUCAGGUCACAGUGACUCAGCCUGGAGCAGUGAGAUCUGCUGUGGGAGGCUCCGUCUCCAUCACAUGUAGGACCAGUCCGGAUGUUUAUAGCUCUAACCUUUUAGCCUGGUACCAACAGAGAGACGGAGAAACUCCUAAACUCCUCAUUUACUAUGCCAGCACUCGAGCAUCAGGGAUCCCAGAUCGUUUUACGGGCAGAGGAUCAAACUCUGACUUCACUCUGACCAUCAGUGGAGUUCAGACUGAAGAUGCAGCAGUUUAUUACUGUCAGAGUUUUCAUGUCAUCAACAGUCAGUGGGUGUUCACACAGUGAAAAAGCGUCGUACAAAAACCUCCCUCAGUCAGACUGAACAGAAACUGAAGUGACAGC